GCCACGAGGCCACGACUCACCGCGCCCUUCGCUGUCGCCUCUCCCAUCCCCCACGCCCUCGCCGCCGCUGCCUCUCCAGUCCCCACGCCCUCACCGCUGUCGCCCCUCGCCUCCUACGCCAUCCCGACGGCCUCAUUGCCCCGCGUCGCUCCGGCCACCCUCACCCUCUCACAUCUGCACCGCCGUGGCGCCUCAACUCCAUGCCGCCUCACAACCCCGCUGCAAUCUUCGAAGCCGUCAUAAGAGGCGCAUCAAGGACGUCGACGAGUUCCGCCUCCCCGAGGUCUGGAUCAACGCCAGCAAGCCCCUCCGGGAACCAAGACCCCUCCCCACCCGGAGUCCUCUGCCGUCGACGGAAGUGUAAGCGCACGAGUUGCAGCGGCCAGCGAGUACUCGGAGUAAGACCAAGGACGUCCUGUUGGAGGCGGAGUACAAGGAGAUAAGCGAGAUCAUAAAUUAGUUACGUGAGGUAAGUGUCCGGCACUCAAAGUAUCACAGCAAUCAAAUUGAUGCUAAUUGACUGAUAUACCUUUCCUUUGCAUCCUCCCAAACAAAGUAAGAAGCAACUUCUAUGUGAUAUUAUCUUCCUAGCAGUAAUGAAUAGUAAUAAUCAAAUAGAAUAAGACAAACGUAUAACCCAACUUCUGAUUCUCUUGGUGCAUGUACAUUGUGUUUGUAGCUAUAAUAGACAGUGCUAAAGAUUAAUCAAUUUUGUAACAAAAACAUUUGUAUACUGCUAUUUUCCAACAUGUUUUUGUGACAAUGAAAGGAUUAAACAUCGGUCAUGAUCAUUUUUAACCUGCUUUCCACUUUGUUUGGUGAUUACAGCACAAAUUCUCGCGAUACUGCAAAGGUCGGCUUAGAUGUUUAAUCAUAAUUGUUCUGCUCAAUUGUGUCACACGGCAUUUCUUGGACUACUAUUUGACAGGCCUUUCCAAGUUCCAACAUUAAUCUUUCUAUCCACGGAAUGCAGAUAGCUUAUGAGUUUUCUCUGCAGGUAACCAAACUGAAAUGUGCUUCUCUCUGAAACCCUGAUAUUGUAAAGCUUCUUUGUCAUUCACUGAUUCAAGUAGCAGGAAAAAGCCUUCUUACUCUUUACACAGAUUUGCUAUUUUUGGGAACCAGGUGGAAGAAUCAUCCACAUAUUAUGCCACUAAGGUAACAAAAGUAGUGCCCUUCUAUUUCCACUCUUACUUAGACUAUCCUACUGCAUGGAAACAAAUUUACCAUUUUGAAUAUUUUGUCUAUGCUAUGUAGAACAAGAAGCAGAUCCGCCAUGUACUUUUGUUUCUAUUCUAAAAAAUCCUACCUACAGAAAGAAGCUCUCUUCUGGAUGAAAAAAAAUACAUCCUUGCUUGAGUGCCUGUACUGUUGCAGACAAUAUGUGAUUUUCUGUGUUAUUUGUGUGAUUUACAAAGAAUUUAAAUGGUCAGUGUAAUUAUUAUUUUUAAAACUUUUCGGCAGGGAUCGAGCCAUCUACGUUAAUGUUUUCUUGGGUAAAGAAAUAACCAACUUUCAGGUUCAAGUUAGAUUGCACGAGCAGGGGGUGAGAAGUUUGCGAUGGUUCUUCAUGUAUGUGCCAUUUGGUUUUAUUUGAAAAGACUUUUCAAUGCUUUUUGAAUGUACCGAUUAACUAUUUCAAUGGCAGAUGAAUGCUUAUGAUUGCCUUUUCUUGUGGGUUUUGGAUACUUAUGAUUGCCUUUCGUUGAGGAUUAUGUAAUCAUGUUCGUCAACAGAAUUGUCAAAUGCAAUGCGUCUCGGAAAAACAUGUCAUGACUAUUUCCCUGAUAUUGUUGGAUCCAAGGGGGGAGCAGUCCAACUACACAGAAAGAGAUAUAAGGGCUAUGAGAGGCUGUGAUACUAGGAGAUGCACUUAGAACACUAUAUUACGAGGUGUUCUUAUUGUGUGCCCCAUGGCAUUAUUGGGUCAAUGGAAG